CCCUGUUAUACCAGUCUUAGAAAGUUUUACUUGGGUAGUAAUCAGGUAAGAUCUUGAAAUCUAAAGAAUUUGGCGGUAUUUUAGUCUAUUUAGAGGAACCUGUUCUAUAAGCGAUAAUCCACGUAGUAUCUUGCUUUAUUUUGUGUCCAGUUUGUAUACCGCCAUAAUUUGGCUUUAUUAUAAAAUACAUUCCAUAAUAAAUAGUUGUUUACCACAUUAGGUCAAGGUGCAGCUUAUAAUAAAGUAGUUAAUGGGUUACAAUACAAUUUAUGUAUACGAAAAGAAAGACUAAGGCCUUUUUGGAAGGCGGAUUUAAUAGUAUUCUGAGUUUAAUAUGCUCAGUUGAAGCUGCUCUAAAAUAUGUACACAUCGCCC
rnacentral:rRNA from 1 species